CUCUGGAUGCGUAGGUUCAAAUCCUGCCACUGUCG
rnacentral:tRNA from 2 species